AUGGGUUCCACAUUCCACUAUCUUUUCUCUCCACUUUCAUUUACAUUUCUUAAAAUCAGUACCGAACUCAAAUGAGACUCCUAAUAAUGGACGGAAGGAAUACUUAGAUUUCUCUUGACUAUGAUUAUAUCUUACAACAAAGAGCACCUUGAUGGAUCCAUCAGACAUCUUCAUCCUUAUGUUCCCAAUCCCUUUACUUGGCCGAUUUGAUUAUUUCCCAACAAUACAAAAACAUCAGAUUGUUCACGAUUCGCAAACCAUUGCUUGUUGGAUGUCAUAUGGAAGCUACAUCCUGAAUCCAUUAUCCAAUGAUCCAUAAUCCCUCUAUGCAACAUUCAGUCAACGACUCAACAACCUCAAUUUCUUGAGUGAUAUUUGCGAAGUCAGGAGCCUUCUCACUUUUAUCCUGUUUCAUCUUCCACACAUAAUAGUCCUUCAAGUGCCCCGGCUUCUUAUACCAGUGACAACUCCUAGUUUAUUUUGACUAGUUUUCUUUUAGUUGGGACCAAUUUUGAGAAGCCCAAAAAAAAUCAAUUAUUUAUUUCAAAUUUGUAGUCAACUACUUGGUCAAAUAUAUUUCUCCAAACUCCAUCACCAAACGAUUUCUCCAUAUCUCCACUCCCUAAAAUCUCUCCUACAAACCAAAUCUCCACAAAAUUUAUUUUAUAUCUCAACCACUCCAAAUCAGUUUCAUAUCUACAAAUUAUAUGUAUAGAUAUAUAUAUAAUCAUCCCCACACGUCUCCCACUUUUCAUUCCUUCCUGCAAUUUCAAGAUCUUUCUCCCUUCCAAAAAGAUCACGCGUAGAAAAUUGGGAGAAUUGUAACAUAACAUUCCCAAACCACCACAAGCCCUUUGAACAAAUCUGUGCAGAAGAAACCGACACUCCCACCACAACGAGAGAUUUCAGAUGAGGAAACAUAAGAUGCAAAAUGCUUAUGUCAGGCAAAUGGUUGAGGACAUAAUGUGGACUCACACGGUGGCGCGAAUUUGUAUCCUGUACAUGAUUAUUAGCAAAGUUUCGAAGAAAAUGAGGCGAGCUGAAUUUGCGUUGGCUUACGACAUUCUGAAUCGAGUACCCAACCAGAUUCAACGUUUAAACAGACUGGUUGGGGUAACUGACACAGAUUGUCUAGUUAAUUGUAGGAUGGACCGGAAUACGUUUGGAAGGUUGUGCUCAUUGUUUACAAAGUUGGGAAUGUUACGCGUCCGGAGGUUCGUAGGGAUAGAAGAGCAAUUUGCCAUUUUUCUAGGUGUCAUAGCACAUCACAAGAAAAACCGUAUGGUUCGAUUUGAUCAUUGGCGAUCAGGGAAAACAGUUUCAUUCUACGUUCAUGAGGUCCUUGCAGCAGUAUUAAAGCUGCAUUCCUUGUUCUUGGUCAAACCCGAGCCUAUUCGCGAAGAUUGUGUAGAUUGGCGAUGGAAAUGUUUUCAGGGGUGUCUUGGUGCUCUUUAUGGCACCUACAUUGACGUUUUAGUACUAAACGUGGACAAACCACGGUUUAGGAAUAGGAAGGGUCAGUUAACAACCAACACUUAAGCCGCUUGCGACAGGCACAUGCGUUUCACAUACAUAUUACCCGGCUGGGAGGGAUCAGCUGGCGAUGCUCGAGUGCUUCGCGAUGCCGUCACUCGUCCUCAUGGGCUGCGAGUCCCAAUAGGUACAUUCACUAGUUUUGAAUAAGUUACAAUAUUCAGCAACAUAUAUCAGUUAGAAUGGAAAAUUUAUAUUUGGUUAGUUUUACUAAACAAAUGUUGAGUUUUGUCUGGUUUAGGUAAUUAUUAUUUGUGUGAUAAUGGAUAUGCGAAUAGUGAAGGUUUUCUAACCCCUUACAAGGGGGUGAGGUAUCACCUCCAAGAGUGGGGUCCUGAUGCGCAAAUUCCACAAAAUGCUGUAGAGCUCUUCAACAUGCGUCAUACCAAAGAUAGGAAUGUAAUUGAGAGAGCAUUCGCGGCCGGUGGGGUAUUUUGCGCAGUGUCUGCUUCUAUCCCCUCAAAGUUCAAAUAAAUUUAAUUAUAGCAUGCUUCCUUCUCCAUAACUACGUUCGGUCUGAGAUGCCAAUUGACCCACUCGAUGACCUUUUGGACUGCAUGCCCGAGAGUCAAGGGGCUGAACCCGAGGGAGAUCAACGGGACAUUGAAUACGUUGACUAUGUUGAGGCAACGUCAUCUUGGAAUCAGCGUCGCGAUGAUCUGGCAAACUCGAUGUGGGCUGAACGCAUAUCCACAAUGCAGUGAUUGCUUCUGCGAGGUGCAAGAUGGACAGAUGCUAGCAAUAGAUUUCGUGUUUGGCAAUAUCAUGUGGGAAUAUCAAGCUUUAUCAAAUGUUUUCUCUAGUAAUCGUAAGACUUGUGCACCAUGAUUCUCUCUAUGUCUUGGUCAUCUAAAUAUGUCAUUAAUCUUAACUGACAUUUGUGUUUUAUAACAAUUUCAUUUUGGAACC